rnacentral:rRNA from 1 species
CCUACGGGAGGCAGCAGUGGGGAAUAUUGCGCAAUGGGGGCAACCCUGACGCAGCAACGCCGCGUGAUUGAAGAAGGCCUUCGGGUUGUAAAGAUCUUUAAUUGGGGACGAAACAACUGACGGUACCCAAAGUAUAAGCUCCGGCUAACUACGUGCCAGCAGCCGCGGUAAUACGUAGGGAGCAAGCGUUAUCCGGAUUCACUGGGUGUAAAGGGCGAGUAGGCGGGCUGGCAAGUUGGGAGUGAAAUCCCGGGGCUUAACCCCGGAACUGGUUUCAAAACUGCUGGUCUUGAGUGAUGUGGAGGCAGGCGGAAUUCCGGGUGUAGUGGUGAAAUGCGUAGAUAUACGAAGGAACACCGAUGGCGAAGGCAGCCUGCUAGACAUUAACUGACGCUGAGGAGCGAAAGCGUGGGGAGCAAACAGGAUUAGAUACCCGAGUAGUC